AAUAGAUACCCAGGUAGUCCACGCCGUAAACGAUGAAUACUGGGUGUAGGGGGGGUUAGAUCCCUCUGUGCCGAAGCAAACGCGAUAAGUAUUCCGCCUGGGGAGUACGGCCGCAAGGCUAAAACUCAAAGGAAUUGACGGGGGGCCCGCACAAGCGGCGGAGCAUGCGGAUUAAUUCGAUGCAACGCGAAGAACCUUACCAAGGCUUGACAUAUGCGAGAACGCUCUAGAAAUAGAGAACUCUUUGGACACUCGUAAUACAGGUGGUGCAUGGUUGUCGUCAGCUCGUGUCGUGAAAUGUUGGGUUAAGUCCCGCAACGAGCGCAACCCUCGUCGCAUGUUGCCAGCACGUAAUGGUGGGGAACUCAUGUGAGACUGCCGGGGUCAACUCGGAGGAAGGUGGGGAUGACGUCAAAUCAUCAUGCCCCUUAUGUCUUGGGCUUCACGCAUGCUACAAUGGCCGGUACAAAGGGCUGCGAAACCGCAAGGUGGAGCGAAAUCCCAAAAAGCCGGUCUCAGUUCGGA
rnacentral:rRNA from 1 species